rnacentral:rRNA from 1 species
UACGUAGGGGGCUAGCGUUGUCCGGAAUCAUUGGGCGUAAAGAGCGCGUAGGCGGCCAGAUAAGUCCGGUGUGAAAGUCACAGGCUCAACCUGUGAAUGCCGCUGGAAACUGUCUGGCUAGAGUCCGGGAGGGGCGAGUGGAAUUCCUGGUGUAGCGGUGAAAUGCGUAGAUAUCUGGAGGAACACCGGUGGCGAAGGCGGCAUCCUGGACCGAUAUUGACGCUGAUGCGCGAAAGCCAGGGGAGCAAACGGG